ensembl:lncRNA
GGAAGUUGUCAAGAAAAGCUUAAGCAACAGUAAAUGCUUGAGUUUAUUUUGUAAAUAAUGACUUUAAUCAGUUUUUUUUGAAAGGCUAGAAUUUUUUAAAAUUUCUUUUUAAUUGGAGGAGAAUUGCUUUACAAUGGUGUGUUGGUUUUGUGCUAUAAAACAGCAUGAAUCAGCUAUAAGUAUACAUAAGGGCUUUUCUGAAAUUUAUAUUAACCUUUGUCUUUUAUUCCAUGGUCUCAGUCCUUAUAAUGCCAUCUUUGGGGACUUCUGUGCGCAAUGCCAUAUUCUUGUAUUUGUUGCUGGCUGGAUAUUUGGGGCAAGGGAGGCAGACUCACAAGUAGUUUUCAGAACAAUGAUGUUUCUAAGACCUAAAUAUCCUAGUUAGAGGUGCUGUUAGUGCUGCCCAGUCCUGUUCAGCAUCAGAAGACCUGACAAGGGGAUCUCAAACCAUGCUGCUCAAACCUCUGCCUCCCUCCCCACGCUGGGGCUGCCAUUGUUCUUGUGUGUUGAAGGCAAAGGCGCUGGGGCUGUCUAGCUAGAGAGCAGGCCGCACUUCAUCACAUUGCAGCAACCACUUAUUAUAAGGGUCAGAUAGCAUGCAGAUUAAAUAGUCACAUUAUGACCAGUCCCAAUCCCUAAAUAUAUCCUCCUGACUUAUUGGAUCUGACAGAUUGGGUCUGACACGGCCAAUGUUGCUGUUAGUACUGAACACAAUCAUGUGGAAAGAAUAAGUGUACAUAGAAUGAUGAAAUUCUUGAGUGAUUUAGCUUAAAAGUAUAUAUUCUGUUCUGUGUGUGGGUAUAGAUAUACAUAUCCACACACACACACACACUGGAUACACAUCCACGCUUGCGUACAUAAACUGUCCCCUUGGUGUGCUUUCUGUAUUUCAUCCAAUCUAACUUUGGUAGAUCCUGCUGUGGGCCUUCUCUAGACUAAUUCUCUAAAUAUUUAGAGAAAUAAGAGGGUCUUUUAUGUGUGUAGUAGUAGUUGAUUUUGCUGGCUUUCAAAGCAUUAUCUUUUAUAAAUCCCUAAGUGUUAGAAGUGGGAAAACCAUCUAUCUUUUAAAUUUAGCAAAUAGCAUUUAUGUGCAUAUGUGCUUAUGCCAUCUACACACUUAUACUGUAAUAGAAAUACCAUGGAAAAGCAAACCAUAAGCUUUUAGCACUGUCAGGCAUGAGCUUUUUCCCUCUCAUCUCUUCCUGAAGAGAUGUUUAGAAGCAUGAGAGGCCUCUCUGCCUCUGCAUUUAUAAGCCGCACCAGAAAAAAAAUGUCAAUUCUUUUUUAGGCACGGGAUCACACUGUAAUAAAUGUGAAUCGAAGCAAUUGCUCAAGUGCUUUCUAAGUAGUGGUUCUAUCUCUCAUCACACACACAGCCUUGUUUUCUUUAGAAAAUGCCAAUAAAAGCUAAUACGAAGGCAGUGCCAUUUGCUUGUUUCAUGGUUUUACUCGGUAUGGAGACCAGUCGGUGAAUAGUCUCACUUGGGAGCCGAGAGGGGUGAAGAGAGUUGAUUUCCUGCAUCUCAUGGGGUCUCUGUAGAUUUAGAGAGCAGUGUUUUGGGUGUGAGAUAGAACUGAAAUGGUUUUGCUAGUACAGUGACCUGGGCGUGCUGCUGGAGAAGCGAAAUGUGGCCCUUGGGAAGCUGCAGCUUCUCUUCUGUUUGAACGGCUUUGUCCUAGGAUGUUUCAUGUGGAGGUGUUAUAUUACCAUGGAAUAAAAUGUCAAAUAUCUUCACAUUCUUGGGCUAUAAGCAAAUAGGACAGGAUUUAUGUUUAUCAAAACACUUGGUUAUUAAAUAGGGCACAUGGAAGAAAAACAAUGCACAGAUGUGGGUCUGGAAUCAGAAUACCUGGUUUGAAAUCCUAGCUCCACUUGCUGAGGGAGCUUGGGUUAGUCACUUAACCUCUCUGAGCCUUAGCUUCUUUCUGUGUUAAAUUUGGGAAAUAAUAGCUAACCAUAUGUUUGUUAUAUCUGAUAAUACAUCAAAAACAAUUCAUGAAUAAUAAGGACUAAACAAAUGCUAAAUAGUGCCAUUUUUAUUGUUAUCUGUUAAGAAUGGAUUUUCACAACUAAGAUACCUAAAGAAGUAGAGACAACUGAGGAAUUCUUUGGCUUAAAGAGAUAAAUUCCAGUACAACAUGAGGUCUUGACAGCCAGACCUAAGGUGACAAUCAGAAUGUCCCAGCACAGAUAUAUUACCUUGGGCUUCAUCUGGGGAAAAUGUUUAAAGGUACCAAAAUUAUUUGGGGCUUUUUUUUUUUCAAAUUAUAAUAAACGAAGUCUUCAUUUCCCUCUGCCCUUCCCUCCUGUCUCUUUGCACUGUCUCUUACUCUAUGGUCUGUGAAUGUAUUUCUCUUCUGAGUUUGGCUCUUUUUAUAGAACUAGUUGUGAAUUCUUCAUUCUCUCACAUAGACAUAUGACAGUGGGGGAGGAGGGCAUGUGUAUUUCCUAAAUUUUAGCAAGAAAUCUGUCUUGCCGUCUCCAUAGAGUGGAAAAUUCAGCAAAGAGUCUGUAGGUUUCAUUCCCCUUUCAAAUCACAUUCAGCAGUGUACUCAAUGCCCAGUGUAUGUCUAUCAGACAUGUUUAUCAUGAGUAAUGGUGAAGCUUCAGAAGUUUGGGAUGGGUGUGGAUCUUGUAUCCACCAGAGGGAAUCUUUAGCCCUUGGGGUGACCUUUGAAGCCAGCUCUGCUAUGCUUCACCCACAUACGCUUCACUUUGUCAGACAAAGUACCUGGGAAUUAAUAUGUCUCUGGAGCAUCCUUAACCAAUGACUGUGGAGUAUAUGGGGAUAAAUAGCCUGCCCCCUCACCCACCUUGAGCAAGGUAAUUCCAAGGCAUGUGUUUGGCACCAUUUUCCAGUUUCCCUCUGAGGUUACAUUGCGGUCACCCACCAUGGUAGGUGACUUAGGAAUGGCCCCCCUCCCCUGUGUUGUCCAUCCACCUUCUCUUCCCUGUCUCCUUCCCUGUCUCCUUCAACUUUCCAGGCUCCCUCUACUUCCCAGUAAACGUGGUUCUCACAUCCUUGGCUCUGGGUCUUUUCUGGAGUUUCCAACCUAAGAUGGUACACACACUUAAAAUACAGAAGGGAAUCUGUUAAGCCUGGUUUAGUCUUCACCAAAACCGCUGUGGGUCUCAGGGUGGCUGGGCACACUUUGGCAGACCCCUGCUUCCCCUGAGUUUGGAAUUCUGCUCACUCAGAGCUCAGCUAGUCAUGGUUGCAGACCUGUCAGGGCUUUGACUGUUGGGGAGGUAGGCAUGGACCAUAGCCAGCCAUUCGCUCACUCAGCCUGCCUUCUGCAGCACAGCCAAUUUGUAUCGGAGGAGGAAGAUUUUAGUAGCAGUGGUCAGGCUUGUAGCAUCGAACCUGCUGUGAAUGCUGGCUUCUAAGUACAAGUGGGCCUCAAAAAUGCUCCUAUGCAUCUCAUCCACUCUCUUUACAGACCCAUCAGACAAGCGCUUGACUGUUUUCCCAGUACCAAUCAAGCUAAACCAGUCAGCCUACCCACCAGUCCUGCUUCCCAGAAGGUUUUCUAUCUAGUGGGGAGAAGAAAAGAUUGGUUCCCAUGGCCUCUCAUUGCAAACCAGCUCAUCCUCUGGCAAUCUGAGACCAAGACUGCACAUUCAGCCAGUGCUUAGGGCACUGCCCAGAGCCAAGAAGAGGCUCAAAUGCCUGAGACAAAUGAAGAAACACAUGACUCGACCAGUCCAUCAGUCAGCUAACCAGCCAAAAUGAGGCCAAAAACUGACAGUUCAGCUGCUUGCUUUUGAAUUCAGAAACCGCAUCGAGCAGGAGAGACAUCACUGUCAGAUAAAUGCCUGGCUUUCAGGUCCCUCCUGGAGUUAAUGACAUUAUGGGACUGGACAUUGGCUAACGGCCACCUUGGGUGCUUCAGGCUCUCUGCAGAAGGGAUGCAGCUCUAAGGCACAAGGACCGUCCCCUGAAGGUCACAGGAUGCUCCUGGGAGCCAGAGACCAGAUGUCCAGCCAAGGGGCUUCAUAAUGGAAGACCUCCUCACACAUGAAGAAGCCUGGCAGCAGGUGACCCAGUUUGACCCAGGUGUUCAACAGUGUCAGGGCUCUUAGUAAGAGUGUGAUACUGUGAUUUAUAUGCAGAAAUAUGUUAUUUGGUCCUGUUUCCUGCACAGAGUUCCUAAAACUCUUGGAAUCUCCCAAGAAAUAAGAGCAAUAGAGAUGCCUUGUUAUGUUAGUGAGGACAGAGGCUGGUUGCCAGGAGAACUACAGCCCAAACCCCCAUCCCCACUCCUAACCUCCUAGGAGGGCAGAGAGUCUGGAGAUGGAGUGCAGUCUCCAAGGGUCAAUGAAUUAAUCAACCUUGCCUACGUGAUGAAGCCUCCAUAAAAACCUGCAAGGUUGGGGUUCAGAGAGCGAGCACAUGGAAAUUUGGAGAGAGUAUUGUGCCUGGAGAGGGUUUGGAAGUCCCCUGCCCUUUCUCAGCCUUGCCCUAUGCAUCUCUUCUGUCUGACUGUUCCUGUAUUUUAUCCUUUUAUAAUAAACCUGUAAUCUAGUAAGUAAACUCUUUUUUUCCUGAGUUUUUUGAGCCACUCCAGCAAAUUAAUGGAAUCAAAGCAGGGGGUUGUUGGAACCUCUGACCUACAGGCAGUCGAGAGCAAGCUGGGCUGUGACUGGCAUCUGAAGUGGGAUGUGAGGCAGCCUUGGAGGAUGGAAACCUUAACCUAUGGGAUCUGAUGCAGCAUCAGGAAUUAUGGGACACAUGGCUGGUGUCAGAGUAUUGCUUGAUGAUGUGGGAAACACCCGGCUUCCCCAGUGGCUCAGCGGUAAAGAAUCCGCUUGCAGUACAGGAGACUCAGGGGUUGCAGGUUUGAUCCCUGGGUCAGGAAGAUCCCCUGGAGGAGGGCGUGGUAACCCACUCCAAUAUUCAUGCCUGGAAAAUCCCAUGGCAGAGGAGAAUGGCAAGCUACAGUCCUUGGGGUCGCAAAGAGUCAGGCAUGACUAAAGUGAUUUAGCAUGCAUGUACAUGUGGGAAACCCCCACACCCACUGGGUCUGGGCACAGAAUUGUAACGGCUGCUCUGCCACCCACUUGGCCUUCCCUCCAUCGUGGUGGCAGCAUGGCUGCAGUCGUCUCUGGCAUCAUGUCUAUUGACUUUAAAAAAUGCACCACAUGGGAGUUGCAAGUUGAGUUUUACUGGGGGCAAAAUGAGGCCUGCAGCCCAGGAGACAGCACUCAGAUAGCUCUGCGAGACUGCUCCAAAGAGUCCAGGAACCUGUCAGUAUAUGUAUGAUACUGGGGAAGAGGCUCUGUGCUUAGGUGCUCAGUCGUGUCUGACUCUUUGCGACCCCAUGGACUAUAGCCCGCCAGGCUCCUCUGUCCAUGGAGUUCUCCAGGCAAGAAUACUGGUGUGGGUUGCCAUGCCCUCCUCCAGGGGAUCUUCCUGACUCAGGAACCGAACCCAGGUCUCCGGCACUGCAGGCAGAUUCUUUACCAUCUGAGCCACCAGGGAAGUCCAAGAAUAUUGAAGUGGGUAGCCUGUCCUUUCUCCAGGGGCUCUUCCUGACCCAGGAAUUGAACCAGGGUCUCCUGCAUCGCAGGCGGAUUAUUUACCAGCUGAGCCACCAGGAGAAGAGGGAGUACCUGCAAUCAAGCACAUAUUUUUCCAGAAGGUUUCUACUUGUCUUGUGAAGCUUUUCCUAGGCACGAGGAGCAGUCUUCACCAUGAAGCAUUUUGGUACUUCUCUAGAAUAUAUUUCCCAAAGAUAUAAGAUUUGGGCUCAUAAAAUCAGCUCCUGAAAAUACCUAUCUGAAGUCCCCCCUGCCCCACCC